CUGAGUGUAGGUGGCCCAGGUAAGACCAGGAUGCUCCUGGCAGUCAGUGUAGGUGGCCCAGGUAAGACCAGGAUGCUCCUGGCAGUCAGUGUAGGUGGCCCAGGUAAGACCAGGAUGCUCCUGGCAGUCAGUGUAGG